UUAAGUGAGAACUGUGUGUAAGGUUCCAUUGUAUAUAUAUAUAUAUGUGUGUGUGUGUGUGUGUGGAGUUUAAGGAAGGUACUGAUUUGGAAUUAUGUAGAUGGUAAUAGAAUAAGGGGUGGAUUAUGUCCUGGGUUGCAGUAUAUUCUAUCACCAUCCUCAUGUACUGUUGAAACCAGGCCUUAUCUCAUGACUCACCAUCCCAUUGUGAGAUGCUCCUCCCCGAGGGAGGAGCCAAGCAUUCCAUACUGGAUAUAAGCUGAGAAUUCGAACACCACAGCAGCCCUUACCUACGGGACUUCCAGAGGACAGGAGCUACUGCUGGACUUUUCAGCUGAAGACCAGACCCCCUUUCUUCCAGAGGAUCACGCUUCAACAAGACCACCUCAUCUGGACGACUACCAUCACCCUAACAGGGUUCCAGGCUGUAUUCUGACUCUGUCAGUGUUUUUGAUAUUAUUGCAUUUAUUCUUUUUAUCAUUUUCCUAUUAAAUUAUAAUUCUGACUUGCGAUCUCUCACUGGUUUGAUUUCAAACUAGUACAC